GGUGUCGUCCCCCCCCCCUCCGCCGGUCACACCCCCGUCUUGGUGGUUGCUAGGAUACCUCGUAGAACUCUCUCUCUCUCUCUAAGGUGCCCUGGCGACAGGCGCCUGUCGAGCCAGAGGUGGGCCCGCCGCUUAGUGACCGAGAGACCGGUUGCUGUCCUCACCUCCACAAUGGAAGAGUCCAAACCUUUUUGAACUCCAGAUCUUCUCUGAUAUAAAGCUAUUAAUAACCAGAGUUCACAUCUUUCAACCUGGCUGCUUCCCAUGAAGCCAUCAGAUGUCUAUAAUAACACUGAUGAUGUUACCUAGGGUCAGUAAUGAAAUGUCUGCAAGAAAACAACCAAGCUCAGAGAGCACCAAGGAUCCCUCAUGUCUUACAGACUUGUGUUUGAAAACCUAUGUUUAAAAUUGCUGGAUCAAACAAUUAUUUCACUAUACUACGUCUCCCAAUCUCACUUCUUCCUCUUUACCAGUUUGCAAAGAAUAUCAGAAUAGAUUGUGAAUUUGUAUGUGUUGGAUUUAUAGAUCAAAAUAAAAAAAUAAAAAUG